GGAAAACAUCACCAAAGAAGUACAGCUCAUGCAAACGAAAUUUCUGAGAAAAAUCCAGGAAAGAAAGACCCGGAGGUGUGAGAUCACAGUGACUUGAUUCAGGGCAGAAGACAUCUUUAUGUGCAUGCUGAGGGAUGUUGUGGAUCUUGUAGACUGCGUAACCAUCUUUGGGCAAGUUACCCAUGACUUCAUCUGGAUUGAAAAUGACAGGACAUCCCGAUGUGAAGUGACUAAGAGGAGAGCAGUAGGCAGCCUGGCAUCCUCCCAUUCCUCAUGCAGAAGAGGGGGACUUCUCUGCAGAGGAGGAAAAACAAGGCAUCCUAGCUCUCCUGUCUGAUUAGCAUCUACACCCCAUGGCUGCAGGGGGCGACGGUGGAAAGCUUGAACUCGGGCCAGAGAGCAUCACUAGACGUGGAGUGGCUGCUCUUUGCUGAAUGCUCCUAGGCUAGCCAUCUGUGGAAGACACUCUGCAUACACACGAGGAAGUAGCGGCUCCCUGAUACUGUGGACCACGAAGAGUAGUACUCCACUGUGUAUGAACAAAGUGCUCUCAGAAAUCACACACAAAUAAAGGAAAAUGUAUGUGAAGAGCAGUGGAGCAUUUCUACUUACCAUGGAAAUGAAAGCAGGUAUCUUCCUGAAGAGAUGAGGACAUCAUAUGGCACUGACACAUGCACACCCACAGUAGAAUAAGAAAGAUGGAACACUAUUGAAAAGCUCUUCCACCAAGGAGUCUCAAGAAAAUAUUGGAAGGAGUUGGCACUUUAAAAAUCUAUAUAAGUUGAGCCUGGUGUUACAGGCCUGGAACCACAGUAUUCUGAGUGGCUGAGGGAGGAAUACGUCAAGUUUGAGCCUAGCUGGAGCAACUUGGUCCACUCACUCAGCUUGGGUACCUGGGAUCAUAUGGACUCAGGAAGAUAAUUGGUGUAGGGCAUUGAAUGAGGAAGUAGUGCCCCAACUGAGGGAUCAGAGAGAAAGCUGUUGCCUCCUAUGAGAUGGAACGGUGAGGACUGGAGGGAUGACAGAGGAACGAAGAGAAGACAGAGGAGCAAAGAGAAGACAGAGGAGCAAAGAGAAGACAGCGGAUCCAAGAGAAGCAGAGCGCCUGCCAGAUCAACCUGGAAUAGGCUCUGUGUUGAAGUGGGAAUAGUAAUGAUGCUUGGUUUCUUCUUGUCUUACUCUACCAACUUCCUUUUCCUACCUAUCAGCGUCAGUGCCUCCAAGAUUGACUCAUGGAGAGAGAGG
rnacentral:lncRNA from 1 species